rnacentral:misc_RNA from 1 species
GGAAUUAUAAGCGAAAAUUAUAGGAGAGGAGUGACUGACUAAUAGACCGCUACUUCACUUAUUUCCAUUGUGUUACAAGCUGGUAACAGGUGAGCCUGGACAGUAUGAGGGAGAGUUUAUUUCUUAAUUAAGUAAUGUUUUCGUUCCUUCUCCGGAAUUCCAUAUGAAUAAUUGAUUGCUUGCUGUCUUUUCGGUGAUAAAAAUGAAAUCAUCCCAUUAUAUUUAAAUAAUAGCCAAAGGUCAUCGUCCUUUCCUUUCUCGUAAACAUCGCCCGUCUUUCCUUCUCUCCUAUUCUCUACUCAUAAAAGCAUUACUGGUUAUGCUCCAGUUUCAAGUAUGGGAGUUGGAGGAUUGCUCAAUCCGUUAACUACAUUUUCUACAACUUCUUCUUCUCCAAAUAGUAAGGCAAUGGCUUCUGUGACAACGGCUAACCUUAUCUACUCUAUCUCAUUUGAUCGUAGACGCGCUCACGCUCCUCAAUUCCUGUAUAAUUUCAAGAAUUACAACAGAAUCUUGAUUAGAAGAUGCAGUAGGCUCUCCUCGAUUGGUCGAUUUGGAGUUUCUUGCGAAUCCAAGAUAGAGGAAAAGAUGGUGAGAAGGUGUUCGCCUUGCCUAGAGAAGGCAUUGCUUACAAGCAAAAGCAAUGGUGCCUUGGCUUCUGAUGAGUGGAGAGCAGUGCCUGACAUUUGGAGGACUUCAGCUGAGAAAUAUGGUGAUCGGGUUGCGCUGGUGGAUCCUUGUCAUGACCCACCUACAAAAAUGACUUAUAAAGAGUUGGAGCAGGAAAUUUUACAUUUUUCUGAAGGUUUAAGAGUUAUUGGAGUGAAGCCCAAUGAGAAACUUGCUCUUUUUGCUGAUAAUUCUUGUCGGUGGCUUGUAGCAGAUCAAGGUAUGAUGGCUAUGGGAGCAAUUAAUACUGUGAGGGGAUCAAGAUCUUCUGUUGAAGAGCUAUUACAAAUAUAUAAUCACUCUGAAAGUGUUGCAAUUGCAGUGGACAGUCCUGAAUUGUUCAAUCGGAUUGCAGAAACAUUUUCUUCCAAGGCAGUUAUCAGAUUUAUCAUUCUGCUUUGGGGAGAUAAAUCAUGCCUAGCUAUCAAUGGAAUGGAUGGCAUUGCUGUUUUCAAUUACAAAGAAAUUAUAGACUUGGGACGAGAGAGCCGUAGAUCUUUGUUCGACUGUGAUUAUGCUAGGCAACACUAUAUGUAUGAAACAAUCAGCUCAGAUGACAUUGCUACACUUGUUUAUACUAGUGGAACCACUGGAAAUCCUAAAGGUGUAAUGCUUACGCAUAAGAAUUUGUUGCACCAGAUAAAUAAUCUCUGGGAAAUUGUUCCUGCAAUACCUGGGGAUAGAUUUCUAAGCAUGUUACCGCCUUGGCAUGCGUAUGAGCGCGCUUGUGAGUAUUUCAUAAUGACGUGUGGAGUUGAGCAAGUGUACACAACUGUGAGAAACUUAAGGGAAGAUCUCCAGCAUUAUCAACCACAUUACAUGAUCUCUGUUCCUUUGGUAUAUGAGACGCUCUACAGUGGGGUACACAAGCAGAUAUCUACAAGCUCCAUAAUUCGUAGGCUUGUUGCACUUACGUUCAUAAAGGUCAGCUUGGCAUACAUGGAGUUGAAGAGAAUUUAUGAGGGAACUUGUUUGACAAGGAUUCAGAAGGAACCAUCAUAUCUUGUUUUGGUGUUGGACUAUCUAUGGGCAAGAAUCAUAGCUGCAAUCUUGUUGCCAGUGCAUAAGUUGGCUGAUAAGCUUGUUUACAGCAAAAUUCGCUCUGCUAUUGGAAUGAGCAAGGCUGGCAUAAGUGGAGGUGGUAGUUUACCAUCGUAUGUUGAUGAAUUUUUUGAGGCAAUUGGCGUGAAAGUGCAAAAUGGGUAUGGUAUGACAGAGUCAUCUCCAGUUACUGCUGCUCGACGGCCCACUUGUAAUGUUCUUGGCUCAAUUGGGCAUCCGAUUCAGCAUACAGAAUUUAAAAUUACAGAUGCUGAAAGCGGUGAAACUCUUCCAGAUGGAUCAAAAGGGAUUGUAAAAGUUAGGGGGCCACAAAUGAUGAAAGGGUACUACAAGGUGAUAUCUUCCUUAAAGAUGCUCAUAUUUUUCAGCUAAUGGAAGAAAUGAUAUUGUGUCCAUGGAAAUAGUUUGAAUGAUGAUUUUUCCUUUUCUCAUGAACAUUAAAACUAAAGCUGACUCAUGGUAGUAGCAUGUUUGCUGGGAUGUCUGCUGACAUUCUUGGUUUUUGAAGGAAAAGAAAAGAGGGAGUGCCUAGGGGAAGGGAUUGAAAUGUAGUUCUGAAUGCAGUAAUAGUUUCUGACAAACAUGAAUACAAGUUCUAAGUGGGAAUUACCAGCAAUUGGGUGUAUAUUUUCAUUUAUUCGUAAUGAUAACAGAAAUAAUAAUUUUUAAAUAUAAAUAGUCUGUCCCCAUUAAGGUGGGAAUUUAGUACCAAUUUGACCUUUUUUGGCCUUUUCUUUUUGAGGGGAAAAAAUAGAAACUUUUUUUUUAGCUUGUUGCAUUCUCGGUAAUCCAAAUUGUUUUAGUUAUUUGCUCUGUUUUAAAAUAAGGAUCAAGAAGAAGGAGGGAAAAAAAAAAAGGCUGUUUUUCAAAUAAUCUUCAAUGUCUUUCCAUUGAUUCAUUCCCAUUGUGAUACCUCCACUAUCAUCAUACAAUCAAAAUUACCCAAAAUUACCCUCAUUUAGUUCAACCUUUUGUUUCCUCUAGGAUUGCUGCUAUGGUUUUGUUCAUAGUUUUGAAAAAUUAUAAUUGUUCAAUAGAUCCUAAACUUUGUCUUCUUUUUCAAUUAUAUCCUUUGCUUUUAAUUUUUUCAAGUAUAUCCUAUGCUUUUUCAAUUGUAUCCAAUGGGCCUAGGAUUUAUAAACAAGUUAAAGUUUUGUCAAAAAUGAAUUCAAAUAUGGAGCUUGUUAAUUAGGAAGAAAUUGGCCCAGCCUCUGCGCUAGGAAUUAUCAAAAUUGUCUCUUAAAAUGCAUUUGGGAUCCAUAUUUUGGAAAAUACUAUCAUUUGAUCACUCUCCUGAUCGGGAGGUCCUUAGCACUCUACAAAACCUUAGCAUGUGCACAUGCCCUAAUCUCACUGGACUGUUGAGACAAAUCAAUAACUUAUGAAUCAAAUUAAUAAAUUUAAUAGUGUAGGGUAUAAUUAACAGGGUAUACAAAAUUCAAAAUAUAUUAGAUUGUUAACCUUUCAAAAAAAAAAAAGCAUUAGUUUCUCAAAAUCCAAAAUAGAAAUAGUUUGUGAUUACAAAUGUAUUAGGUUGAGAUAACAACAAUGUUAUUACAAAGAUAUGGAAUUAAAAGUUGGGAAACCACGAUUAAAGAUAGUUACUGGGUUUUGAUUGGGUUUUGAUCACAUUUCAUUGUAAUUGUUCUUGCAAUAUAAAGUGUUUUAUAAAUAUGCAAUACAAAGUUAGAAUUGCGGUCCAUGGUAUUUUAUUCUAUUAUUAAAGAUAGGUAACAUCUUUCGAGUGAUAUAUGUGAAUUAAGUACAAAUUACAGUUUAUAGUAAGAUUAAGUUUGUUACUUAUGGCAACAUGUUUGUGCUAAUGUUCCAUUAGAAUCCAAUGGCCACAAGAAAAGUGUUAGAUGAGGAUGGUUGGCUAAAUACUGGUGAUAUAGGUUGGAUUGUUCCUCACCAUUCAGUAGGGCGAAGCCGUCGUUGUGGAGGUGUUAUUGUCCUUGAAGGGCGAGCUAAGGAUACCAUAGUUCUUUCUACAGGUGAAAAUGUUGAGCCCUCAGACCUUGAGGAAGCUGCUAUGAGGAGUGCCCUUAUUCAACAGAUAGUUGUUGUUGGCCAGGAUCAACGUCGUCUUGGAGCUAUAGUAGUUCCAAAUAAAGAAGAGGUUCUACUAGCUGCUAAAAAGUUGUCCAUUGUAGAUGUCAAUACCUCUGACCUGAGUAAGGAAAAGGUAGCCAGCUUGGUAGAUGAAGAACUCAGGAAAUGGACAUCUAGCUGUUCAUUUCAAAUUGGACCAAUCCUUAUUGUGGAUGAGCCUUUAACGAUUGAAGAUGGCUUGAUGACCCCAACCAUGAAAAUCCGAAGAGACACGGUCAUGGAACGAUACAGGGAGCAGAUAGCCAAUCUCUACAAAUAGAUCAUACAAUCAAUGUAUACAGGAAACUUAUAGGAAAAAAAUAAAGUGCACUGACAUAUAGCCAGAAGAAAAAUGAUCUCAAUUUCCAAAGUAAGUUCCCAUGAUAGUCUUGCAUUUUGAUGUAUAUACCUUAAAGUAACGUUUUGUUUUAAAUGUCAGAAGGAACAAAUCUCUGCUUGUGCUUAAUUUCUCUCCAAGCUUUGAUGACCCUUUGUCCUUCCAUCCGUUUCAGUUUCAUAAACUCUUUAAUUGGUAGACAUGGUUGUCAAGUCAUAGGAAACAGAAAGAAAAACCCCCUGUUAUUUUCAUUCUUGAUUUUUAAAAAACACCUCAAAGGUCAUGAGUGACAAACGAACAUGAGCAAGCUUGAGGAGAGGACUAUUGCAGAUUCAUCCAUAGCAGGUAGGAUCCCUCACAAAGAAAGCACAUGGGAUAAUCUGCUACCGCUGAUACACCACUGAAACACAACACAAAACAAAACUAAACGCCACCAAAUCAAAGGGGAGAGGGAAGAAUCCACCAUUCCGGAUGGGAAUGAGCCGUCCCCUAGAUGGCCAUGAAUUUUACUAUUGAAAGUUACUGAGAAAAGAGACGCAAAGAACUCUUAUUGAGAAGGGAGAACCAGCUCCCACUGUCUCUCUCCCACAAUGCUUUAUCUAUGGACUUUGUCACUUGUACGUUGA